UAAGGCCAUUGCUCGUGAUUGUGUGUC
rnacentral:piRNA from 1 species